rnacentral:lncRNA from 1 species
GCAUGGAGGGAGAUGUGAGUAAAGUGGUGAGCCUGUCACCAUUGGCCAUAUUUCAAGGACAGCAGGACAGUGAACAGACCAGCUUGUGCAGAGUUGAUGCUAUCCCUUAGGGUGUCCCUGCUGGCCAGUGAAAGGGAGAUGAGGGGGGUGGCCCCACUAGGAGCCCCAAAUCCAGUUCUGUUUUCUGUGAUGCAAAGCCACUUUG